rnacentral:rRNA from 1 species
UACGUAGGGUGCAAGCGUUAAUCGGAAUUACUGGGCGUAAAGCGUGCGCAGGCGGUUAUGUAAGACAGGUGUGAAAUCCCCGGGCUUAACCUGGGAACUGCAUUUGUGACUGCAUAGCUAGAGUACGGUAGAGGGGGAUGGAAUUCCGCGUGUAGCAGUGAAAUGCGUAGAUAUGCGGAGGAACACCGAUGGCGAAGGCAGCCCCCUGGGCUGACACUGACGCUCAGGCACGAAAGCGUGGGGAGCAAACAGG